rnacentral:tmRNA from 1 species
GGGGCUGACUGGAAUCGACAGGAGGGUCUGCUGGUUAGUAAGCAUGUCGGAGCAUGAGAGGUUACUCCGUAAAAAAUAACUUUCAACCUUUAAGUGGCAACACUUAUGCUAUCGCUGCCUAAUUCAUAGAAUUAGACCGGCUUUAUGCCGUCGAUCUGACACCUGAUACAGGAUCUACCGCAUUCAAACCCGCUCUUAGGAGUGCUCAGGUUAGUUUUAUCUCGACGCCACCGGAGAUAGAGCGAAAUUAAUCGGAAGCUGCUUGAUGAACAUGGGAGUGUCUCUAUCCUACCUCAUCACUAAGACUCAAAUAGAAGAAUAAACAUGUAGAAAGCUAAUGAGUGCUUUGUCUGGACGGGAGUUCGAAUCUCCCCAGCUCCACUU